AUUGAACGCUGGCGGCAUGCCUUACACAUGCAAGUCGAACGGCAGCACGGGGGCAACCCUGGUGGCGAGUGGCGAACGGGUGAGUAAUACAUCGGAACGUGUCCUGUAGUGGGGGAUAGCCCGGCGAAAGCCGGAUUAAUACCGCAUACGCUCUACGGAGGAAAGGGGGGGAUCUUAGGACCUCUCGUUAUAGGGGCGGCCGAUGGCAGAUUAGCUUGUUGGUGGGGUAAAGGCCUACCAAGGCGACGAUCUGUAGCUGGUCUGAGAGGACGACCAGCCACACUGGGACUGAGACACGGCCCAGACUCCUACGGGAGGCAGCAGUGGGGAAUUUUGGACAAUGGGCGCAAGCCUGAUCCAGCAAUGCCGCGUGUGUGAAGAAGGCCUUCGGGUUGUAAAGCACUUUUGUCCGGAAAGAAAUCCUCUGAGUUAAUACCUCGG
rnacentral:rRNA from 2 species